rnacentral:rRNA from 1 species
GACGAACGCUGGCGGCGUGCUUAACACAUGCAAGUCGAACGGAAAGGCCCUGCUUUUGUGGGGUGCUCGAGUGGCGAACGGGUGAGUUACACGUGAGUAACCUGCCCUUGACUUUGGGAUAACUUCAGGAAACUGGGGCUAAUACCGGAUAGGAGCUCCUGCUGCAUGGUGGGGGUUGGAAAGUUUCGGCGGUUGGGGAUGGACUCGCGGCUUAUCAGCUUGUUGGUGGGGUAGUGGCUUACCAAGGCUUUGACGGGUAGCCGGCCUGAGAGGGUGACCGGCCACAUUGGGACUGAGAUACGGCCCAGACUCCUACGGGAGGCAGCAGUGGGGAAUAUUGCACAAUGGGCGGAAGCCUGAUGCAGCAACGCCGCGUGCGGGAUGACGGCCUUCGGGUUGUAAACCGCUUUCGCCUGUGACGAAGCGUGAGUGACGGUAAUGGGUAAAGAAGCACAGGCUAACUACGUG